rnacentral:rRNA from 1 species
GACGUAGGGCGCGAGCGUUGUCCGGAUUUAUUGGGCGUAAAGAGCUCGUAGGCGGCUUGUUGCGUCGUCCGUGAAAACCUGUGGCUCAACUACAGGCUUGCAGUCGAUACGGGCGGGCUGGAGUUCGGUAGGGGAGACUGGAAUUCCUGGUGUAGCGGUGAAAUGCGCAGAUAUCAGGAGGAACACCGGUGGCGAAGGCGGGUCUCUGGACAGUUCCUGACGCUGAGGCACGAAGGUCAGGGGAGCAAACGGG